rnacentral:tRNA from 1 species
GAGGAUGUAGCUCAGUGGUAGAGCACGUGCUCAGCUUGCACAAGGUCCUGGGUUCAAUCCCCAGUAUCCCCA